GACGAACGCUGGCGGCGUGCUUAACACAUGCAAGUCGAACGAAGUGGCGAACGGGUGAGUAACACGUAAGCAACCUGCCCUUCAGAGGGGGACACCAGUAGGAAACGACUGCUAAUACCGCAUACGGAAGGAGGGACAUGAGUCUGAUUAGCUAGUUGGAGGGGUAACGGCCCACCAAGGCGAUGAUCAGAAGCCGGUCUGAGAGAAUGAACGGCCACAUUGGGACUGAGACACGGCCCAGACUCCUACGGGAGGCAGCAGUGGGGAAUCUUCCGCAAUGGACGAAAGUCGGACGGUGCAACGCCGCGUGAGUGAUGACGGCCUUCGGGUUGUAAAGCUCUGUUAAUCGGGACGCGGUACCGGAAUAGAAAGCCACGGCUAACUACGUGCCAGCAGCCGCGGUAAUUC
rnacentral:rRNA from 1 species